UACGUAGGGUGCAAGCGUUGUCCGGAUUUAUUGGGCGUAAAGAGCUCGUAGGCGGUCUGUCGCGUCGGCUGUGAAAAUCCGGGGCUCAACCCCGGACCUGCAGUCGAUACGGGCAGACUAGAGUUCGGCAGGGGAGACUGGAAUUCCUGGUGUAGCGGUGAAAUGCGCAGAUAUCUGGAGGAACACCGGUGGCGAUGGCGGCAUCCUGGACCGGCAUUGACGCUGAGGCGCGAAAGCCAGGGGAGCAAACGGG
rnacentral:rRNA from 1 species